rnacentral:rRNA from 1 species
CGGGGUGAGUAACGCGUGGAUAACCUGCCUCACACUGGGGGAUAACAGUUAGAAAUGACUGCUAAUACCGCAUAAGCGCACAGUACCGCAUGGUACAGUGUGAAAAACUCCGGUGGUGUGAGAUGGAUCCGCGUCUGAUUAGCCAGUUGGCGGGGUAACGGCCCACCAAAGCGACGAUCAGUAGCCGACCUGAGGGGGUGACCGGCCACACUGGGACUGAGACACGGCCCAG